rnacentral:rRNA from 1 species
GUAGAAUUCCAGGUGUAGCGGUGAAAUGCGUAGAGAUCUGGAGGAAUACCGGUGGCGAAGGCGGCCCCCUGGACGAAGACUGACGCUCAGGUGCGAAAGCGUGGGGAGCAAACAGGAUUAGAUACCCUGGUAGUCCACGCCGUAAACGAUGUCGACUUGGAGGUUGUGCCCUUGAGGCGUGGCUUCCGGAGCUAACGCGUUAAGUCGACCGCCUGGGGAGUACGGCCGCAAGGUUAAAACUCAAAUGAAUUGACGGGGGCCCGCACAAGCGGUGGAGCAUGUGGUUUAAUUCGAUGCAACGCGAAGAACCUUACCUGGUCUUGACAUCCACGGAAGUUUUCAGAGAUGAGAAUGUGCCUUCGGGAACCGUGAGACAGGUGCUGCAUGGCUGUCGUCAGCUCGUGUUGUGAAAUGUUGGGUUAAGUCCCGCAACGAGCGCAACCCUUAUCCUUUGUUGCCAGCGGUCCGGCCGGGAACUCAAAGGAGACUGCCAGUGAUAAACUGGAGGAAGGUGGGGAUGACGUCAAGUCAUCAUGGCCCUUACGACCAGGGCUACACACGUGCUACAAUGGCGCAUACAAAGAGAAGCGACCUCGCGAGAGCAAGCGGACCUCAUAAAGUGCGUCGUAGUCCGGAUUGGAGUCUGCAACUCGACUCCAUGAAGUCGGAAUCGCUAGUAAUCGUGGAUCAGAAUGCCACGGUGAAUACGUUCCCGGGCCUUGUACACACCGCCCGUCACACCAUGGGAGUGGGUUGCAAAAGAAGUAGGUAGCUUAACCUUCGGGAGGGCGCUUACCACUUUGUGAUUCAUGACUGGGGUGAAGUCGUAACAAGGUAACCGUAGGGGAACCUGCGGUUGGAUCACCUCCUUACCUUAAAGAAGC